rnacentral:rRNA from 1 species
GAUAAACGCUGGCGGCGUGCCUAAUACAUGCAAGUCGAGCGAACGGACGAGAAGCUUGCUUCUCUGAUGUUUGCGGCGGACGGGUGAGUAACACGUGGAUAACCUACCUAUAAGACUGGGAUAACUUCGGGAAACCGGAGCUAAUACCGGAUAAUAUUUUGAACCGCAUGGUUCAAAAGUGAAAGACGGUCUUGCUGUCACUUAUAGAUGGAUCCGCGCUGCAUUAGCUAGUUGGUAAGGUAACGGCUUACCAAGGCAACGAUGCAUAGCCGACCUGAGAGGGUGAUCGGCCACACUGGAACUGAGACACGGUCCAGACUCCUACGGGAGGCAGCAGUAGGGAAUCUUCCGCAAUGGGCGAAAGCCUGACGGAGCAACGCCGCGUGAGUGAUGAAGGUCUUCGGAUCGUAAAACUCUGUUAUUAGGGAAGAACAUAUGUGUAAGUAACUGUGCACAUCUUGACGGUACCUAAUCAGAAAGCCACGGCUAACUACGUGCCAGCAGCCGCGGUAAUACGUAGGUGGCAAGCGUUAUCCGGAAUUAUUGGGCGUAAAGCGCGCGUAGGCGGUUUUUUAAGUCUGAUGUGAAAGCCCACGGCUCAACCGUGGAGGGUCAUUGGAAACUGGAAAACUUGAGUGCAGAAGAGGAAAGUGGAAUUCCAUGUGUAGCGGUGAAAUGCGCAGAGAUAUGGAGGAACACCAGUGGCGAAGGCGACUUUCUGGUCUGUAACUGACGCUGAUGUGCGAAAGCGUGGGGAUCAAACAGGAUUAGAUACCCUGGUAGUCCACGCCGUAAACGAUGAGUGCUAAGUGUUAGGGGGUUUCCGCCCCUUAGUGCUGCAGCUAACGCAUUAAGCACUCCGCCUGGGGAGUACGACCGCAAGGUUGAAACUCAAAGGAAUUGACGGGGACCCGCACAAGCGGUGGAGCAUGUGGUUUAAUUCGAAGCAACGCGAAGAACCUUACCAAAUCUUGACAUCCUUUGACAACUCUAGAGAUAGAGCCUUCCCCUUCGGGGGACAAAGUGACAGGUGGUGCAUGGUUGUCGUCAGCUCGUGUCGUGAGAUGUUGGGUUAAGUCCCGCAACGAGCGCAACCCUUAAGCUUAGUUGCCAUCAUUAAGUUGGGCACUCUAAGUUGACUGCCGGUGACAAACCGGAGGAAGGUGGGGAUGACGUCAAAUCAUCAUGCCCCUUAUGAUUUGGGCUACACACGUGCUACAAUGGACAAUACAAAGGGCAGCGAAACCGCGAGGUCAAGCAAAUCCCAUAAAGUUGUUCUCAGUUCGGAUUGUAGUCUGCAACUCGACUACAUGAAGCUGGAAUCGCUAGUAAUCGUAGAUCAGCAUGCUACGGUGAAUACGUUCCCGGGUCU